GGCUUAGAAGCAGCCACUCAUUUAAAGAGUGCGUAAUAGCUCACUGGUCGAGUGACCCUGCGCGGAAAAUUCAACGGGGCUAAAAUCAUAACCGAAGCUUGGGAUAUACUAAUGUAUAUGGUAGGGGAGCGUUGUGUAAGGGGUGAAGUCAUAGCGGAAGCGGUGGUGGACUUUACACAAGUGAGAAUGCCGGAAUGAGUAGCGCGAAUUAUGUGAGAAUCAUAAUGGCCGAAAGUCUAAGGUUUUUGGAGGAAGGUUCGUCCGCUCCAAGUUAGUCGGGAGCUAAGGUCAGGCCGAAAGGCGUAGCCGAUGCACAUACGGUAGACAUUCCGUAACCGUCGAAGUAUUUAAGCAAAGGGACACUUUGAGAAGGUACAAGCCAGGCGUUGGUAGCCCUGGUCGUAAGGGACUGAAGUUUAGUAAGGAAGUGUACUGGAACAGAGGCGAGAAAAGCUUUGUGUAUAUACAAGAUGCCCGUACCGCAAACCGACACAGGUAGAUGGGAAGAGAAUUCUAAGGCCAACGGGAGAAGGGUUGUUAAGGAACUCGGCAAGUUGACCCCGUAACUUCGGAAGAAGGGGUGCUCCAGAAAUGGAGCCGCAGAGAAUAGGUCCAGGCGACUGUUUAGCAAAAACACAGCUCUAUGCUAAAUCGAAAGAUGAUGUAUAUGGGGUGACACCUGCCCGGUGCUGGAAGGUUAAGAGGAGAUGUGCAAGCAUUGAAUUGAAGCCCCAGUAAACGGCGGCCGUAACUAUAACGGUCCUAAGGUAGCGAAAUUCCUUGUCAGGUAAGUUCUGACCCGCACGAAUGGUGUAACGAUCUGGACACUGUCUCAACAACCCGCCCGGCGAAAUUGUAGUACCGGUGAAGAUGCCGGUUACCCGCGACAAGACGGAAAGACCCCAUGGAGCUUUACUGUAGCUUAAUAUUGGAUUUUGAUAUUUCAUGUACAGAAUAGGUGGGAGACUGAGAAGCAGAGGCGUCAGCUUCUGUGGAGUCGCCUUUGGGAUACCACUCUUGAAGUGUUGAAAUUCUAACCUGCAGCCGUGAAACCGGCUGGGGGACAUUGUUAGGUGGGCAGUUUGACUGGGGCGGUCGCCUCCAAAAAGGUAUCGGAGGCGCUCAAAGGUUCGCUCAGCAUGGACGGAAACCAUGCCCCUGAGUGUAAACGCAAAAGCGAGCCUAACUGCGAGACUGACGGGUCGAGCAGUAACGAAAGUUGGAGUUAG
rnacentral:rRNA from 1 species